ACGGAUCUCUUGGUUCUGGCAUCGAUGAAGAACGCAGCGAAAUGCGAUAAGUAAUGUGAAUUGCAGAAUUCAGUGAAUCAUCGAAUCUUUGAACGCACAUUGCGCUCGCCAGUAUUCUGGCGAGCAUGCCUGUUCGAGCGUCAUUUCAACCAUCAAGCUCUGCUUGCGUUGGGGAUCCGCGGCUGUCCGCGGUCCCUCAAAAUCAGUGGCGGGCUCGCUAGUCACACCGAGCGUAGUAACUCUACAUCGCUAUGGUCGUGCGGCGGGUUCUUGCCGUAAAACCCCCCAUUUCUAAGGUUGACCUCGGAUCAGGUAGGAAUACCCGCUGAACUUAAGCAUAUCAAUAAGCGGAGGAAAAGAAACCAACAGGGAUUGCCCUAGUAACGGCGAGUGAAGCGGCAACAGCUCAAAUUUGAAAUCUGGCUUCGGCCCGAGUUGUAAUUUGUAGAGGAAGCUUUUGGUGAGGCACCUUCUGAGUCCCCUGGAACGGGGCGCCAUAGAGGGUGAGAGCCCCGUAUAGUCGGAUGCCGAUCCAAUGUAAAGCUCCUUCGACGAGUCGAGUAGUUUGGGAAUGCUGCUCAAAAUGGGAGGUAAAUUUCUUCUAAAGCUAAAUACCGGCCAGAGACCGAUAGCGCACAAGUAGAGUGAUCGAAAGAUGAAAAGCACUUUGAAAAGAGGGUUAAAUAGCACGUGAAAUUGUUGAAAGGGAAGCGUUUGUGACCAGACUUGCGCCGUUCCGAUCAUCCGGUGUUCUCACCGGUGCACUCGGGACGGCUCAGGCCAGCAUCGGUUUUGGCGGGGGGAUAAAGGUCCGGGGAACGUAGCUCCUCCGGGAGUGUUAUAGCCCCGGGCGUAAUGCCCUCGCCGGGACCGAGGUUCGCGCAUCUGCAAGGAUGCUGGCGUAAUGGUCAUCAACGACCCGUCUUGAAACACGGACCAAGGAGUCAAGGUUUUGCGCGAGUGUUUGGGUGUAAAACCCGCACGCGUAAUGAAAGUGAACGUAGGUGAGAGCUUCGGCGCAUCAUCGACCGAUCCUGAUGUAUUCGGAUGGAUUUGAGUAAGAGCGUUAAGCCUUGGACCCGAAAGAUGGUGAACUAUGCUUGGAUAGGGUGAAGCCAGAGGAAACUCUGGUGGAGGCUCGCAGCGGUUCUGACGUGCAAAUCGAUCGUCAAAUCUGAGCAUGGGGGCGAAAGACUAAUCGAACCAUCUAGUAGCUGGUUACCGCCGAAGUUUCCCUCAGGAUAGCAGUGUUGUUCUUCAGUUUUAUGAGGUAAAGCGAAUGAUUAGGGACUCGGGGGCGCUUUUUAGCCUUCAUCCAUUCUCAAACUUUAAAUAUGUAAGAAGCCCUUGUUACUUAAUUGAACGUGGGCAUUCGAAUGUACCAACACUAGUGGGCCAUUUUUGGUAAGCAGAACUGGCGAUGCGGGAUGAACCGAACGCGGGGUUAAGGUGCCGGAGUGGACGCUCAUCAGACACCACAAAAGGCGUUAGUACAUCUUGACAGCAGGACGGUGGCCAUGGAAGUCGGAAUCCGCUAAGGACUGUGUAACAACUCACCUGCCGAAUGUACUAGCCCUGAAAAUGGAUGGCGCUCAAGCGUCCCACCCAUACCCCGCCCUCAGGGUAGAAACGAUGCCCUGAGGAGUAGGCGGCCGUGGAGGUCAGUGACGAAGCCUAGGGCGUGAGCCCGGGUCGAACGGCCUCUAGUGCAGAUCUUGGUGGUAGUAGCAAAUACUUCAAUGAGAACUUGAAGGACCGAAGUGGGGAAAGGUUCCAUGUGAACAGCGGUUGGACAUGGGUUAGUCGAUCCUAAGCCAUAGGGAAGUUCCGUUUCAAAGGGGCACUUGUGCCCCGUGUGGCGAAAGGGAAGCCGGUUAACAUUCCGGCACCUGGAUGUGGGUUUUGCGCGGCAACGCAACUGAACGCGGAGACGACGGCGGGGGCCCCGGGCAGAGUUCUCUUUUCUUCUUAACGGUCUAUCACCCUGAAAACAGUUUGUCUGGAGAUAGGGUUUAAUGGCCGGAAGAGCCCGACACUUCUGUCGGGUCCGGUGCGCUCUCGACGUCCCUUGAAAAUCCGCGGGAGGGAAUAAUUCUCACGCCAGGUCGUACUCAUAACCGCAGCAGGUCUCCAAGGUGAACAGCCUCUGGUUGAUAGAACAAUGUAG
rnacentral:rRNA from 1 species